GAACUGGAGAGUUUGAUCCUGGCUCAGAUUGAACGCUGGCGGUAGGCCUAACACAUGCAAGUCGAACGGUAACGGACCGCUGGGAUCCCUUCGGGGUGACCUUGGUG
rnacentral:rRNA from 1 species